rnacentral:rRNA from 1 species
CAGCGUUUGACAUGGGACGUAUGAUCGUCAGAGAUGANUUUCUUCACUUCGGGUGGCGUCCACACAGGUGCUGCAUGGCUGUCGUCAGCUCGUGUCGUGAGAUGUUGGGUUAAGUCCCGCAACGAGCGCAACCCUCACCUUCAGUUGCCAUCAUUUAGUUGGGCACUCUGAAGGAACUGCCGGUGACAAGCCGGAGGAAGGUGGGGAUGACGUCAAGUCCUCAUGGCCCUUACGCGCUGGGCUACACACGUGCUACAAUGGUGGUGACAAUGGGUCGCAAGCGUGCGAACGCAAGCUAAUCUCCAAAAGCCAUCUCAGUUCGGAUUGCACUCUGCAACUCGAGUGCAUGAAGUCGGAAUCGCUAGUAAUCGUGGAUCAGCAUGCCACGGUGAAUACGUUCCC